CCGAGGCUUUCAGCCUGCGGGACAGUGGUGCGAUUUGCAUUAGAGAAAGGGAGAUGCCAUGUGCUGGCCCAGCACUCCAACAGGGGCCUGACCUCUAGGAACGGGACACUGGAGGAAGCCUAGACAUCUGAACAAAUCAAGUCAUCCAGAUCCACGGUCAGCUCCUGCCCCGACUUGGCCUUCCUCCUGCUGGGCUGGCCCACGGACCUCGGGAACCUGCCCUGGCUGUGGGUGACCUGCAGCCUAUCUCCCAGGACUAUGGAAGCCCCAUGCAGGAACAUGGUUCUGACACUUUGGGGAUUAUACCCUAAGCUUAAAGGACUGGAAAAGCCCCUGAAGUCCCGAGACCACAACCCUCCACCUUCUAAAGAUAAGACAAGUCACUGAAGGUCUCAGAACUGUGGCCCAUUCACCCCUUCCCUCAAGACAAGAGUGUGGCCAAGCAUCAAUCUCACCCCCAGAGACCAGACGGUGUCCAGGUCUUGGGCAGACGAAACCUGCUCCUUGGGGAUGGUCUUCCUGGCUGUGCUUCCAAAGGGCUGGCCUGCAAUCAGCUGGUUUUCACUUGAUCCUUUCGGGGUUUGCAUUAUAUCUGACUGAAGGAAUGAACUGGGAGAGAACAGCAGAGCCGCAGCGGAAUGUGGAAAGGCCCACGUCCAGACUGUUCCCAUUCUGAUUUAAAAGCCUGAUGAAGGAACAGCUGAACUCAGAGAAACAGCAGGCAACCUCAUGGAGACCAUGGACCCCUCUGCCAUCCCACCCAUCUUUGAACCAAUGCAAACUGUCUUCAGAACUCAUGCCCUUACAUAAACAGGCUCUACAGGCAGAUCACCUGAGGUUGAAAGGUGAAGCCACCUGGACUUCUGGGUCCAGUAGAGACUUGGAGAACUUUUCUGUCUUACAAAAGGAUUGUAAAAUGCACCAAUCAGCACUCUGUAGCUAGGAUUGUAAAACGCACCAGUGUUCUGUAGCUAGCUAGAGGUUUGUAAAAUGCACCAAUCAGUGCUCUGUAGCUAGCCAGAGGUUCGUAAAAUGCACCAAUCAGUGCUCUGUAAAAACACACCAAUCAGUGCUCCGUAGCUAGCUAGAGGUUUGUAAAAUGAACCAAUCAGCACUCUGUAAAAUGGACCAAUCAGUGCUCUGUAAAAUGGACCAAUCAGCACUCUGUAAAAUGGACCAAUCCACUCUGUAAAAUGGACCAAAUGGGAGGGGACAACUCAGGGAAUAAAAGCUGGCCACCCCAGCCCUCAGCGGUAACCUGCUUAAGUCCCCUUCCAGGCUGUGGGAGGUUUGUUCUUUCGUUCUCCACAAUAAAUCUUGCUGCUGCUCAGUCUUGGGGUCCGCAUCACCUGUAAGAGCUGUAACACUCACUGUGAAGGUCACGCUUCAUUCCUGAAAUCAGCGAGACCAUGAACCCACUGGAAGGAACAAACUCCGGACACAAGGGCAGGAGUUUGAGACCAGCCUGACCAACAGGGCGAAACACUGUGUCUACCACAAUUACAAAAAUUAGCUGGGCUUGGUGGUACGCACCUGUAGUCCCAGCUACUUGGGAGGCUGAGACAGGAGAAUUGCUUGAACCCUGGAAGCAGAGGAUGUACUGAGCCAAGAUUGUGCCACUGCACUAUAGCCUGGGCGACAGAGACUCUGUCUCAAUAAAUAAAUAAAUAAAUAAAUAAUAUAAAAAAAAAACCUCUACAAUAUUUUCCUGCUGUCCUCCUAACACUUGAACUUGGGCUAAUGCAAUUUAAGCUUCAAGUCUCCCCAGUGUCAGUGAAGUGAAGCAAUGAACAGUGCCUAAUGAGCCCUUAAAAUGUAGACCACCCAUCUACAUAGCGCCUUCUUUUCCACCCCUUUAAACAAAUGAUAGCUACUGCUGUUUGAUUUUUACAUUAAGAAGAACGUGUUGUCAAAAGUACCUAAAUCAUUUUCUCAGCUUGGUGCUUCACUUUCCCUUUAAGGAUGCAGACUAAGGAUCUUAAUUUAUGAGUUACCCACUCAAGCCUCUUUGCCACACACCUGGACCUGUUUGCAGAAUUAAAUUAUUGGCUGUGAAUCUAACAUCAAACCUCCAGAUGGCACCAGAGAACUGAGAAAAACAAUUCCAUUGCCAAGGAGCCUUUGUGUUGCUGACAAGAGAGGAGCAGGCUGAGAGAAAACGCCCUGUUUGUCACAAAGUUACAUCUGCGAGCUCCUUCAAGGAAGGGAGGUGCCUGACGCUCCUUGUUAAUGCCGGUUGCUGUUACAGACUUGCAAUUGUGCAACUCUGUGAUGUAAACAGGCAGGCUUUGUAUUUUUGCAGUGCCCCUGGAGAGUGGAGAGGGUGGUUCUCUUGGCUGUCUCUGGAACAAAUUUGGGUAAGUGCUCAAAGAUGUGUUACUACAGAAUGUACUUGUGAAGUUCUUGUUGCAGUGCAGUCAGAUAAGCAAAGAUAUCUGCUAGAAAAUAAAGAAAAAGCUACACAAUUUUAGACUUUGUAGUUCAUUGUCUUUUAAGACAGCAAGUCCUGCUAUUGUCUGUCAUAAAGCUACAGAAAAAGACCAUAUUGAAAACUGACGAUAGCAGUUGAUUAUUUGUGAAAAGCCUGAGAGAUGAUUCAGUAAAUACAAGGUGAAUUUCAUUGCAUCUUCAUGCAAUCAGAGACUUGCAUACACUUUUUAUCCCCUAAACAGAUGAACGAAUGGCAUGGGCCAGCUAGCAGGGAGUUGGCAGGAUAAAGUUCUAACCAACAAUUGCCACUUGCCUUCCUUUCUUCCAUCAGCUUCUAGCUUACCUUUCAGAGACAGGUUCUAUCAAAGGAAACCUAAAGGGAACCUUCCUCCCUGGCCCUGCCCCAUCUAGCGUCCACAAGGAUACUACACUCCAGUGAAGACUAGGGUGUAUCCCAACUCCCCAAGAGCAGCAUCAACAGCUAUUAAUCCUAAAAGUCUUGGUUUACUUCUGCAACAUUGAGACACUUGCUGGGGCCAGAGCACAGGGGGCAAAUGGGAACCUGAAAUGCUCUUUUCCCAGCUUACUGCAGGACUCUUUGUCUCAUCUGUUAGCCAUAUGUCACCCCAUUAGAGAGAUCUCUCCUGACCAUCCCAUCUAAAAUUAUUUCCAGUUACUCACUCUCUCAUCCCUCUGCACUUAUGUGAAUAAAACAGUCUCAUUUUAUACUUGAUUGUCUGCCUUCCCUCCCUACAGUUAUUGUUGAAGCAGGCAGGAAUUCCCUCUGUCUGGCUCCCACGGUAUCCCCACCUUUUAGAAGAGUGUGUGGCAUGUAGAAGGUUCAAUAUAGAUUGAAUAAAAGAAUGAAUGAUGACAAUAGGCUGAUCCAUUUCUCUAUUUUCUUCUGGUUAUGAAAUUUGAUUAAAAAAUGAGAUUUGGGAUCAAAGCCAUUACCAGAGAACAUUAUAUUAACACAAAUAAUUGAAUUAUGCCUUAGGAAAAGACAGUGUAUAACAGGGGAUUAUUGAUAACUUAAAAGAGUAUCUUUUCCGCAGUAAUAAAAGAGUGGAACAUUUUUAAAUAAAUGAUGAAAAAGAGAACCCAAAGGCACAGGAUCCUGCUGAUAAACAAUUGCACAUAAGGGUGUACUAUUUCUAUGAGAGUAAGUAUAUCCCGGCUCAAAAAGAGCAGAAUAAAAUUGGUACAGUCUCAGGUUUAUUCUGCUAUUUAAUUUACAGUUGCACAACCACAUGGGACAUCCACCAACUCACCAGUCCAGGAGGGAGAAAAACGCCUUGGAUUCUUUCUAUAUUUAUAGGCAUGUAUACUGCAAAUUGCAUUAUCUCUAACAGACUGCCAGAUGAGCUGGAAAAGAUCAUCUGUCAGCACAUCCAGAAAGCUUUCUCAGACUUUCAGAUUAGCUCAGGUUCCACUGUAAUCUCACUAUGUACUUCUUCAUCAAAUCGAUUACCGUUGUAAUUAAGUGAUGAAUUGGGUGAUUUGUUACGUAGCCUCUUUCACCUCCAUUGUGAUGUACCCUUCAAGACAGAAUGUGUCUGUUCCUGUCCAAUGCUACAUUCCUAGCCCUUGGGGAAUGCCUGCUAAAUCAAAACAAUUAAUUAAAUAUGUGUUGAAUAAAUAAAUGGAUAAAUUGAGCAUUUAUUAUGCUCCAAGCACAGUACUACAUACAUUCUUACACACAUUGCUUUUUAAAUUUCAUCUCACACAACCCUAUCUGAUAGAUACUAGUUUUAUCCCCAUUUUACAGAUGAAAAAACUGAGGUCUUUAAAAAGAUUAAGCAAUAUCAUUGAACAAGAAUUGAACAAUAACAUCUAUAGCAAGUUGCCCAUUUUAAAUGAUAUUUUAUUGGGGAAUGUGAAUUAUUGUAGAAAAAGGAAGUCUUCGGCAAAGAAACACCUAGAAGCAAAUUUCAUCACUAGAGAGCAUUGCUAUCUACUGAAGUUCAAAACUACAUAUUUAGGCCCGGUAUCCCCUUUUCGGUUUGUGCCAGACCAAUUAUCAAUAAUGCAGAGUUUACAUUUUUCUCAAACAUGAACGACUGGUUUGUUGAGUAUGUUGAACUUGCCACUAUCUAGUAAACAACUUUAUUUUUCCCCUACCACUAUCUUCACACCGUUUAGCCAUGUUGCCUUUUUCCAUCAUUGGAUGGAAUCUUGGGCAGAUUCCCCCAGCUUCUCAUUGAUUUUCAACCAUAAGAGCAGCCUCAUUU
rnacentral:lncRNA from 1 species